rnacentral:rRNA from 1 species
GAGGAGGUUAAUGACAGUCGAGGGGCAUCGGGAGGGAGCUUGCUUUCCUUGCCGGCGACCGGCGCACGGGUGAGUCCUUGUAUGCAACCUGCCCUCUUCAGGGGGACAACCUUCCGACCGGGAGGCUAAUCCCGCGUAUAUCGGUUUCGGGCAUCCGAGAUCGAGGAAAGAUUCAUCGGAAGAGGAUGGGCAUGCGGCGCAUUAGCUUGACGGCGGGGUAACGGCCCACCGUGGCGACGAUGCGUAGGGGUUCUGAGAGGAAGGUCCCCCACACUGGUACUGAGACACGGACCAGACUCCUACGGGAGGCAGCAGUGAGGAAUAUUGGUCAAUGGGAGAGAUCCUGAACCAGCCAAGCCGCGUGAGGGAAGACGGCCCUAUGGGUUGUAAACCUCUUUUGUCGGAGAACAAAACCCGGGACGUGUCCCGGACUGCGUGUAACCGAAGAAAAAGCAUCGGCUAACUCCGUGCCAGCAGCCGCGGUAAUACGGAGGAUGCGAGCGUUAUCCGGAUUUAUUGGGUUUAAAGGGUGCGUAGGCGGUCCGUUAAGUCAGCGGUAAAAUUGCGGGGCUCAACCCCGUCGAGCCGUUGAAACUGGCAGACUUGAGUUGGCGAGAAGUACGCGGAAUGCGCGGUGUAGCGGUGAAAUGCAUAGAUAUCGCGCAGAACUCCGAUUGCGAAGGCAGCGUACCGGCGCCAGACUGAUGCUGAGGGACGAAAGCGUGAGGAUCGAACAGGAUUAGAUACCCU